UAAACGAAGUAAUCGCAGCUUCUGGCCGUAUUGAAUGCUGCAACUCGGAAUAUUCGCAACCUUUGCCUGUCGACUUUGCUGCAAUUGUAAGGAAGAUUUUUCGCAAUAUUCGAUUCUCAAUCUCAUCUUCUCAAACCACCACAGAUCUAGAAUUUCAAGAGAAAGGUUUUCGAAUCUCCAUAGCCGUGGCUCCUUCUACACAAAUCUUUCCUACUCGCUCCUUCCUCUUCAUCUUUGUUCCUUCGCCAGCCAUAGCACGCGUUUGUGAGAUAGGUAAACUUGUAGUGUUUCGACUUUGUGUCAUAUCGUCAUUCAUGUCUACAGAGAAAUAAAGGUGGGGCGGAAGAGAGAGAAAGGCGCCGAAGUUUUCUUGUUCAAACAAACAAAUUCGCCAGCCACUGGUCGGGUUUUCUUGUUCCUUUUCAACAUCCGCCGCCGGCAACACCGCACCCCUCCAAUUCAAGCCCUCAAAUUGCAGAUAAGUAGAGAUAGAAGGAGCUAGGGUUUUGCGGUACUUGCUUAGUUGUUCUUUGUAGGUAGAGAUGUUCGAAGUGAGUUCUUCAAUGGUCAAUUCUUCGCCGCCUUGCAUUUUGGCAGAGGGGAUUUCUUCGUGUUUCUACUUCGCAAAAUUCUCCUUUACCUCAAAAUUGAAGGGAGAAGAAGGGAGAUAAAAGGGUUUUCCGAUGUUUGUUUUCUGGAGAGUGCACUAGCAAUGUGUUGUCUGAAAAUCGUCCACCAUCAGAAUGAUAUGGUAGGCAGCUACUUUGUUGAUAACCAGCAGCUUCCGAAGGAAACAGAUGACGAAGAUGGUUUUAUGUUGACAACUGAUGGAAACAGCAAACUCUACGAGCAGGAAGAUGCCGAGUUGAGUUUGGACCAGCACGCUGCACCUGAUUCAAGUACCAGUGCCUUCCAUUAAGGGUUAUGUACAAAGAGAAAUGCCAUACUCUAAUGAGGAGUUAGAAGAAACUCGAGAACAAUGGGCAAAGUAUUUUAAGGACAACUAUUUGAUGGAUGCCGGCGAAUGAGUUUGUUGUCUAGUAAUGUUGUGUUUUAUGAUUUUGUUAUGUGUUGGAUAUGACAUUGGAUGCUACUUGGAGCAUAUAUAUGGUUGUUGGAACAUAUAUGCAUGUUAUUUCUUAUAUACAGGUGUUUAUAAAUUCCCGUUUUGUCCGGGUUUCGCAAAUUACAAGGGAAACUAUGGCAAAUUUUUUGCAACCUAUUAAACUA